UUGAAUAAAAACCUGGCUUGGUUGUUGCUGGUCUUUUAGACAUGUGCACGCCUUGUCAUCUUUAUAUUUCCACCUGUGCACCUUUUGUAGACUUUUUUCGUUGUGAGGAAUUGCCCGUACGUGGCUUUCUUUGAAUGUAUUCGAAAAAAGUCUAUGUUUUCAUAUACUCUUGUAAUAGAAUGUUGGUAUUAGACUUUAAUGUCUUAUAAUCGUUAUAUA
rnacentral:misc_RNA from 1 species